GUUGAAUUCGAUAUUUACUAUUAGAUAGUAUUUUCAAUCUCGUCGUUAAGCCAAUCAUAACUCAAGAUGAAAUUGCUGUUUUUGACAAUCUUCGUCAUCGUACUGUUGUGCGCCAUUUCUGUAGGAGCAAGUCCAGUCAGUCAUGAUGAGAGUAUUCUUAGUCAGCAGGGCCAGGCAACCGUUGAUGGCGCGAAUCCAGAGAACAGCAUUCACCCUCAUCAUUUGAAGAAAAAGCUGUUGUUACUUUUGGGCUGAGCCAAAAAACUGGGGUAAUACUUUGUGUAAGCUUUUGUAAAUAGAGUAGAUCUGAUCCUAGUCGAAGUUUUCUUGCGAAACUGUUAUAUUAUGGAGUUGUACAUGAAUUCCGUUAUUGUUCAUUAAUUACUUUAUGAAGGAAUCAAAUAGAAGAGAGCACAGGAAAUAAGCAAUUCAUGCGUGCUACACAUUCUGGUGAAUUGCUUGAAACCAAAAACCUUUGCAACACAUUUUUGUAAUAUAGUUCAAAUCUUCCGAAUGUGCUAAUCAAUAAAUGAGAUAAGUAUACAGCAGAAA